CGGGUGAGUAACGCGUAGAAAUCUGCCUGGUAGUGGGGGAUAGCCCAGAGAAAUUUGGAUUAAUACCGCAUACGCCCUACGGGGGAAAGCAGGGGACCUUCGGGCCUUGCGCUAUCAGAUGAGUCUGCGUCGGAUUAGCUUGUUGGUGAGGUAAUGGCUCACCAAGGCGACGAUCCGUAGCUGGUCCGAGAGGAUGAUCAGCCACACUGGGACUGAGACACGGCCCAG
rnacentral:rRNA from 1 species